rnacentral:lncRNA from 1 species
UUAUAGUUAAUUAUUUUCUUAUAGUUCUGCCCAUGAGUAUAAACUUCACAAAGGCAGUAAAUCAUCGUAUUUUUGUAUGCCUUAUAACUCCUGGCUUCCGUGUUAUGUUUCCAUAUAGCAGGUGUUUAGAAGUAUCACACCGUUCAGCUGACUCGACUAUUGCCUUAUCCAUGGAUGCACAGUGAAUAUUUGUUCAUAGAAAUCAGUGUUGUAGACUUUCACUGUGGUCAUGGCAAAAAGAAAUUUGAUUUCUUCAAAGAGACGAAAAAGUGGCAUUGAGGAAAAGAGGCCUUUAUGUGGAAUGACUUCAGGAAAGCCAGAAAAUUAUAAAAGUAAUGCAAGCUUUUUGUACAAAAUUUGGAAUAUGCAGAAAGGUGGAAUGAAGAAACCAAAAAUUGCCCGUACCCUAUUGUGGCAGAGUGUAUUUUUCAAACGUGGCUGCAGCAGCAUCGCCCAUCUCACAUGCAUUCCUGCAGUGUGACCUUGCCACUCUCCCAUCAAGAGGUGGGGUCUGUUUCUCUACCCUUUUGAAUCUGAGUGGGCUCUGUGACUACUUUGACCAAUAGAAUAUGGUAAUACUGUGCCAGUUCUGCACAAAACCCUCUUGUGACCUGGUAGCUCACCGUGUAAGCAGUACAACUAUCCUAAGUCCACCACACUGUGAGAUUCACAAGCCACAUGGAGAGUUCCUGAAGGAUGAGAUACCACAUGGAGACUGAGUGAGGCCAGAGAAUACUGAGGCAUCAGACGUGCGAGUGAAGAAAGCCUUUUGGAGUGGAACCUCCCGCCCCAGCCGUCCCACCUGACGCCACAUGGAUCAGACAUGAACCAGCCAGCUGAGCCCUUCCAAAUUCCAGAGCAAAAUAAAUGUUUUUAAAGCCACUACCUUUUGGGGUAAUUACACAACACCACUGAAGCACCCAUCACCCCAAAAUAGUGAACAUUAUAUUGCUUUUUUUGUUAAAAAUUCGAAUAGCACAUAAAUUUAGAAAAUGUAGAGUGGAAAUGCAUCUUAAUAACAUCCCACAAAGGAGACAACCACUGUUCACAAUUUGAUCCAUAUUUUUCCAGUCUUUUUUUCUAAAC